GACGAACGCUGGCGGCGUGGAUUAGGCAUGCAAGUCGAACGGUAUCAUCCUUUCGGGGGUGAGAGAGUGGCGAACUGGUGAGUAACACGUAGGUUAUCUACCCUCAAGACGGGGACAACCCAGGGAAACUUGGGCUAAUACCGGAUGUGAGCAACUUUUAGUUGUUUGAAAGGUGGCGUAAGCCGUCGCUUGGGGAUGAGCCUGCGUCCUAUUAGUUAGUUGGUGAGGUAACGGCUCACCUAGGCAAUGAUAGGUAGGCGGCCUUAACGGGUGGUCGCCCACACUGGGAUUGAGAUACGGCCCAGACUCCUACGGGAGGCAGCAGUCGAGAAUAGUCUACAAUGGUCGGAAGACUGAUAGUGCGACGCCGCGUGAACGAUGAAUCCCUUCGGGGUGUAAAGUUCUUUUAUAUGUGAGCAGUGCUUCUUAUAUUUAACAGUAUGGGGAGAGGAGAUAUUAGCAUAUGAAUAAGCAACGGCUAACUCCGUGCCAGCAGCCGACGGUAAAAUCACG
rnacentral:rRNA from 1 species